GACUUGCCCGCGUUAGGGAUUGCAGUGGAAAGCCCACAGCGACCUUUUGGGAGCGAGGACUUGUAAUGGAAAGCCCGACUUUUU
rnacentral:misc_RNA from 1 species